rnacentral:rRNA from 1 species
GUGGGCGCUAGGUGUGAGUCCCUUCCACGGGGUUCGUGCCGUAGCUAACGCAUUAAGCGCCCCGCCUGGGGAGUACGGCCGCAAGGCUAAAACUCAAAGGAAUUGACGGGGGCCCGCACAAGCGGCGGAGCAUGUGGAUUAAUUCGAUGCAACGCGAAGAACCUUACCUGGGCUUGACAUACACCAGACCGGGCCAGAGAUGGUCUUUCCCUUUGUGGUUGGUGUACAGGUGGUGCAUGGCUGUCGUCAG